rnacentral:rRNA from 1 species
UUGCGUCGAUGCUUACCAUGCAGUCUACUUGAACUUCGGUUUGGGUGGCGGACGGGUGAGUAACGCGUAAAGAACUUGCCUCACAGUUAGGGACAACAUUUGGAAACGAAUGCUAAUACCUGAUAUUAUGAUUUUAGGGCAUCCUAAGAUUAUGAAAGCUAUAUGUGCUGUGAGAGAGCUUUGCGUCCCAUUAGCUAGUUGGAGAGGUAACGGCUCACCAAGGCGAUGAUGGGUAGCCGGCCUGAGAGGGUGAACGGCCACAAGGGGACUGAGACACGGCCCUUACUCCUACGGGAGGCAGCAGUGGGGAAUAUUGGACAAUGGACCAAAAGUCUGAUCCAGCAAUUCUGUGUGCACGAUGACGUUUUUCGGAAUGCAAAGUGCUUUCAGUUGGGAAGAAAAAAAUGACGGUACCAACAGAAGAAGUGACGGCUAAAUACGUGCCAGCAGCCGCGGUAAUACGUAUGUCACAAGCGUUAUCCGGAUUUAUUGGGCGUAAAGCGCGUCUAGGUGGUUAUGUAAGUCUGAUGUGAAAAUGCAGGGCUCAACUCUGUAUUGCGUUGGAAACUGUAUGACUAGAGUACUGGAGAGGUAAGCGGAACUACAAGUGUAGAGGUGAAAUUCGUAGAUAUUUGUAGGAAUGCCGAUGGGGAAGCCAGCUUACUGGACAGAUACUGACGCUAAAGCGCGAAAGCGUGGGUAGCAAACAGGAUUAGAUACCCUGGUAGUCCACGCCGUAAACGAUGAUUACUAGGUGUUUGGGGGUCGAACCUCAGCGCC